AAUCCCUCUUUGUGUCCCUCUGAGAAAGAAACAAUAAUCGCUUUUUUUUUUUUUUUUUUCUGAGAGGAAAGUUCAAGAGCACAAGUGGUUUUAGUUAGGGAUUCAAUAAACACUUUGGCAGGAAUGAGAAAAGCAGUGGAGAAAAGACCUAGUGGCUCUUCCAGUUCUAACCAAAAGUGGAUAUUCUUGUGUGAGGAAAAACCCAGCAGAGUGAAUGCGAAGAGGGAGCUACCUCUGUCCUUUGCUGAUACACCAGGCAACUUAAAUCUACAACGUCCUUCUCCUCGGUGGUUUAUUUUAAAGAGUUGCCAUUAUCAAGAAAUGAUUGUUACUGCAAGGCAGUUGGCAAACACCUGGAGACUCUUUCCCGGAGGUACUGCUGAGCCUCAGGACAAAGCCAUCAUAUUAAGUCUUCAUUAACAGCAUGGCGGCCAGCUCUUCCCUUCCCCAAGCCAAAUUCUCAGACUUCAAAGAGCUCAAAAAUAAAAGGGUACUUAAAGGAAA